CCUACGGGUGACAGCAGUGAGGAAUAUUGGUCAAUGGACGCAAGUCUGAACCAGCCAUGCCGCGUGCAGGAAGACGGCUCUAUGAGUUGUAAACUUCUUUUGUACAAGGGUAAACUCAGACACGCGUGUCUUUCUGUACGUACUUUACGAAUAAGGAUCGGCUAACUCCGUGCCAGCAGCCGCGGUAAUACGGAGGAUCCAAGCGUUAUCCGGAUUUAUUGGGUUUAAAGGGGGCGUAGCUGGUUGGUUAAGUUAGAUGUGAAAUCCCGCGGCGCAACCUUGGAAUUGCAUAUGAUACUGGUAGGCUAGAGAGCAGUAGAGGUAGGCGGAAUGCAUGGUGUAGCGGUGAAAUGCUUAGAGAUCACACAGAACACCGAUUGCGAAGGCAGCCUACUGAGCU
rnacentral:rRNA from 1 species